rnacentral:rRNA from 1 species
CGGUAGUCCACGCCCUAAACGAUGAACACUAGUCGUCGGAAUGCUAGUCAUUUCGGUGAUGCACUUAACAGAUUAAGUGUUCCGCCUGGGGAGUACGGUCGCAAGAUUAAAACUCAAAGGAAUAGACGGGGACCCGCACAAGUGGUGGAGCAUGUGGUUUAAUUCGAAAAUACGCGAAGAACCUUACCUAGCCUUGACAUUGAUUGAACACUUUAGAGAUAGAGUGGUGCCCUUCGGGGAACAUGAAAACAGGUGCUGCACGGCUGUCGUCAGCUCGUGUCGUGAGAUGUUGGGUUAAGUCCCGCAACGAGCGCAACCCUCGUCUUUAGUUGCCAGCAGGUUAAGCUGGGCACUCUAAAGAGACUGCCUUCGUAAGGAGGAGGAAGGUGAGGACGACGUCAAGUCAUCAUGGCCCUUAUGGCUAGGGCUACACACGUGCUACAAUGGGGGCGUACAGAGAGUUGCGAUACCGCGAGGUGGAGCCAAUCUCAUAAAGCGUCUCUCAGUUCGGA